CCCUGAUCGGGGGCGUCCAGCCCAAGCAAGGCUGGUGGGCCCCUGUCGCGCAGUGCUAUAUGUAGAGGAGGUGGGGACCAUGGCACGGGUUACGAGGUUCGCCGCCGCCACUGGUUCCCCACUCUCUAAUCCUAAUCCGAUCUAGAGGGAUGCACUAAAGCGACGGGAAGUCCAUCACCGCCACUACCGGAUCUCUCUCCUUCCCCACCGUCGUCACCACCUCACGACGGUAGCCGGAGGGAGCUCAUCGAUUACGGGAUAAGGUAACAAAUCUCCACAUCACACCGAACACAUCUAGCCUUGUCGAUCCACAGGAUCUAUCAUACCCAUGUUGAAGUGUCGGUCGACAUGGAGACAACUAAUGAAAAUCAAGGUGUGUCCAAAGGCCCGACCAUUCAACUUUGUAGUCAUCCUCAUCCUUCAAGCCCUGUGCCCCAUGUUGAUAGUACCUCUCCAUCAGCUGCCAUGGAAGACAUAGAAGUGGCUAUUGU
rnacentral:lncRNA from 1 species